rnacentral:misc_RNA from 1 species
GCGCGUCGCUCUUCCAGCUCACGAGCCGCCGUCUCUCUGACUAACAUGGAAGGACCACGGCGGCCAGUUGCACGGCCGAGAAGAACAGCUAGGGAAGUUGGGCGAACGGUGGUGGAGGAAGGGGGUUCAUGGCGGGGAAGGAGAAGCGGAGCGUGGCUGUCACUCUCCUCCGAGGAGGCGGUUGCACCGGCGGUGGUUUGCGUUGACAUUGGAGAGAUAAUAUUGAGGGGGAAGAAUUAGGCUUUUGGGUUUCAGAGAGAAGAAGAAAAGCAUAAUUAUGGAUUAGGGGUUUGAGCAGUCAUUUGGGGUUAAAAUUGAAUUCAAGAGUUUUCUAAUAUAGAAAACAAACAGAUUAACCCUUUGAUUGGGAAGGAGUUUUCUUAAAGUAGUUGAAGAGUUUUUAAAGUUUAAAAAUUUUG